AUAUAUCAACCUUCUCUUGUUGAGUUGGUUUGGAUGUGGGGGUUUGCUGGCCUCUUAAGAGGUUUCAGCUCUCCUGAAAUGCAUUAGCAGAACAACCCUGUUCAUUGGUGUGAUAACUAUCUAUACCCUCGGUAUGCUGUGAUUGAAUCUGCUUUCUAAUCUUUUGGAUUGAAAA
rnacentral:misc_RNA from 1 species